rnacentral:rRNA from 1 species
AUUGAACGCUGGCGGCAGGCCUAACACAUGCAAGUCGAGCGAGCGGCGGACGGGUGAGUAAUGUAUGGGGACUGCCCGAUAGAGGGGGAUAACUACUGGAAACGGUAGCUAAUACCGCAUACUAUCGGAUAACCCAUAUGGGAUUAGCUAGUAGGUGAGGUAAUGGCUCACCUAGGCGACUAUCCCUAGCUGGCCUGUGAGGUUGAUCAGCCACAUUGUGACUGAGAAACGGCCCAGACUCCUACGGAGGCAGCAGUGGGUAAUAUUGCACAAUGGGCGAAAGCCUGAUGCAGCCAUGCCGCGUGUAUGAAGAAGGCCCUAGGGUUGUAAAGUACUUUCAGUCUGGAGGCGUUACCAUCAGAAGAAGCACCGGCUAACUCCGUGCCAGCAGCCGCGGUAAUAC